ACUCUGGAGUAUUCUCUCACCUGAAUGAUCUUCCAGAUAAAAAUGUUUUUGAUAAGUCAUCAACACAACUUUUAAAAUAAAGCAGCCUCAGCCUGUGUAGUUCCGAUACAAGACACAAUGCAUUGAACCAAAGGUUAAACUCCAAUUGAUUAAGGUCUUUCUUUGCCUUUUUCCUCCUCUAGAUCCUUUGUAUCGUGUUGAAUCCAAGAUUAGCUCCUGCAUCACUUUCAUUGUAGCAGUUGCUGUUCUGUUGUUGUUGGCACUCGCAUUUCUCCCCCAGAACUAAAACCCUGCUUUGACUGGGAAGUGACCUGAUUUUCAGGUGCUCCCUGACAUGCAUCUGCUGAAUGACACCUUCAAUCUCUACUUGAGUCCGUUCCGUUGUUUCCUUCAGAUGACCUAAUAGAAGUCAUAAUGCCAGACCCGAGGCAUGCAAAGCCUGAGUCUGGAAACCGCCUACAGAGAAUCAUCCUACAGUGGUGGGGACUGACAACUGACAAUUCUGAUGCUCUCUAUGUCAGAAAAGGGGCCAUACUUACAGAGUAUGUAAGUAUUCACAGCUCAGAGUAACAGGAGGGAAAAAAGGGGGCCCAAGGGGGAGAGUUAAGAUCUUCCUGGUGUUUCUCUAAGUACAAAAAACCCACAAGCCCCACGGGAAGUGAGGAACUCUGGGCUGGGCCAUUGGACAGAACUGUAUUAAAUAACUAUUCCUAACUAAAGGAAUUCUGAGAAAGCAAGUAUUUUUAGCUCCCACACUGGUCAUAACUAGGGUUUAUAUAGUUAUAAAAGGAGGGGGGAGGGUAGGUGGAGGAAUGGGAAUCAA
rnacentral:lncRNA from 12 species